rnacentral:misc_RNA from 1 species
AAGUCGUAACAAGGUUUCCGUAGGUGAACCUGCGGAAGGAUCAUUAAUAAUCAAACUCUAAAGACAUUCGUGUCCUUAUGAUUAUCCUUCAACAACCUGUGAACCAUUGAAUCAUAUCAGCGCACUGCUGUAUGGCACACUCUUGCCUUGGCAACAAGGCAUAUGUAUGCGUACGCAGAGCACUAUUUAUUAUACCAUUUAUCAUAUUUAACCAUGUCAAGUCUGAUCAUAAAGUGUGAAGAGCCGUAUGUACACGCCGCUUACGCGGGGUAUACACGCGAGUUUUAACAUACUUGUCUUUUUAAGUAAAGCAAGAACCUAAAACAACUUUUAACAAUGGAUCUCUUGGCUCCU